rnacentral:rRNA from 1 species
CCCUUAGAUGUUCUGGGCCGCACGCGCGCUACACUGACUGACUCAACGAGUUUACAACCUGUGCCGAAAGGUAUGGGUAAUCUUUUGAAAUUCAGUCGUGAUGGGGCUAGAUUAUUGCAACUAUUAAUCUUCAACGAGGAAUGCCUAGUAAGCGCGAAUCAUCAGUUCGCGUUGAUUACGUCCCUGCCCUUUGUACACACCGCCCGUCGCUCCUACCGAUUGAAUGGUCCGGUGAAAUCUCGGGACGGCGGCUUGGUCGCUUGCGUCCGACUGCUGAAACUUGAUUAAACCAUNUNAUUUAGNGGAAGGUGAANUCGUANCA